AGUGAACGCUGGCGGUAGGCCUAACACAUGCAAGUCGAACGGCAGCACAGUAAGAGCUUGCUCUUACGGGUGGCGAGUGGCGGACGGGUGAGGAAUACAUCGGAAUCUACUUUUUCGUGGGGGAUAACGUAGGGAAACUUACGCUAAUACCGCAUACGACCUACGGGUGAAAGCAGGGGAUCUUCGGACCUUGCGCGAUUGAAUGAGCCGAUGUCGGAUUAGCUAGUUGGCGGGGUAAAGGCCCACCAAGGCGACGAUCCGUAGCUGGUCUGAGAGGAUGAUCAGCCACACUGGAACUGAGACACGGUCCAGACUCCUACGGGAGGCAGCAGUGGGGAAUAUUGGACCAUGGGCGGAAGCCUGAUCCAGCCAUACCGCGUGGGUGAAGAAGGCCUUCGGGUUGUAAAGCCCUUUUGUUGGGAAAGAAAAGCAGCAGGUUAAUACCCCGCUGUUCUGACGGUACCCAAAGAAUAAGCACCGGCUAACUUCGUG
rnacentral:rRNA from 1 species